CAUGGCAUAUGUGACUCGAAAAG
rnacentral:miRNA from 1 species